GACGAACGCUGGCGGCGUGCCUAAUACAUGCAAGUAGAACGCUGAAGAGAGGAGCUUGCUCUUCUUGGAUGAGUUGCGAACGGGUGAGUAACGCGUAGGUAACCUGCCUUGUAGCGGGGGAUAACUAUUGGAAACGAUAGCUAAUACCGCAUAACAAUGGAUGACACAUGUCAUUUAUUUGAAAGGGGCAAUUGCUCCACUACAAGAUGGACCUGCGUUGUAUUAGCUAGUAGGUGAGGUAAUGGCUCACCUAGGCGACGAUACAUAGCCGACCUGAGAGGGUGAUCGGCCACACUGGGACUGAGACACGGCCCAGACUCCUACGGGAGGCAGCAGUAGGGAAGCUUCGGCAAUGGGGGCAACCCUGACCGAGCAACGCCGCGUGAGUGAAGAAGGUUUUCGGAUCGUAAAGCUCUGUUGUAAGUCAAGAACGGGUGUGAGAGUGGAAAGUUCACACUGUGACGGUAGCUGACCAGAAAGGGACGGCUAACUACGUG
rnacentral:rRNA from 1 species